rnacentral:rRNA from 1 species
UACGUAGGGGGCUAGCGUUGUCCGGAAUCAUUGGGCGUAAAGAGCGUGUAGGCGGCCCGGUAAGUCCGCUGUGAAAGUCGGGGGCUCAACCCUCGAAUGCCGGUGGAUACUGUCGGGCUAGAGUUCGGUAGGGGAGACUGGAAUUCCUGGUGUAGCGGUGGAAUGCGCAGAUAUCAGGAGGAACACCGAUGGCGAAGGCAGAUCUCUGGGCCGUAACUAACGCUGAGGAGCGAAAGCAUGGGGAGCGAACAGG